rnacentral:rRNA from 1 species
CAGUCGCCGCGGGAAUACGGAGGGUGCAAGCGUUAAUCGGAAUUACUGGGCGUAAAGCGCACGCAGGCGGUCUGACAAGUCAGAUGUGAAAUCCCCGGGCUUAACCUGGGAACUGCAUUUGAAACUGUCAGGCUGGAGUCUUGUAGAGGGGGGUGGAAUUCCAGGUGUAGCGGUGAAAUGCGUAGAGAUCUGGAGGAAUACCGGUGGCGAAGGCGGCCCCCUGGACAAAGACUGACGCUCAGGUGCGAAAGCGUGGGGAGCAAACAGGAUUAGAUACCCCUGAGUCCCUGUCUCUUAUACA